CCUACGGGAGGCAGCAGUGAGGAAUAUUGGUCAAUGGGCGGAAGCCUGACCCAGCCAAGUAGCGUGCAGGAUGACGGCCUUACGGGUUGUAACCUGCUUUUAUACGGGAAUAACGCGCCUUACGUGUAGGGCUUUGCAUGUACCGUAUGAUUAAGGACCGGCUAAUUCCGUGCCAGCAGCCGCGGUAAUACGGAAGGUCCGGGCGUUAGCCGGAUUUAUUGGGUUUAGAGGGAGCGUAGGCCGCAUGUCAAGCGUGCUGUGAAAUGUCCGGGCUCAACCCGGGCCUUGCCUCGCGAACUGGCGUGCUUGAGUCCGCGGAAAGCAGGCGGAAUUCGUGGUGUAGCGGUGAAAUGCUUAGAUAUGACGAAGAACCCCGAUUGCGAAGGCAGCUUGCUGCAGCGGAACUGACGCUGAUGCUCGAAAGCGCGGGUAGCGAACAGGAUUAGAUACCCCAGUAGUC
rnacentral:rRNA from 1 species